GAUGAACGCUAGCGGCAGGCUUAACACAUGCAAGUCGAGGGGUAUAGUUCUUCGGAACUAGAGACCGGCGCACGGGUGCGUAACGCGUAUGCAAUCUACCUUUUGCAGAGGGAUAGCCCAGAGAAAUUUGGAUUAAUACCUCAUAGUAUGUGAGAAUGGCAUCAUUUUCACAUUAAAGUCACAACGGCAAAAGAUGAGCAUGCGUCCCAUUAGCUUGUUGGUAAGGUAACGGCUUACCAAGGCAACGAUGGGUAGGGGUCCUGAGAGGGAGAUCCCCCACACUGGGACUGAGACACGGACCAGACUCCUACGGGAGGCAGCAGUGAGGAAUAUUGGACAAUGGGCGCAAGCCUGAUCCAGCCAUGCCGCGUGCAGGAUGACGGUCCUAUGGAUUGUAAACUGCUUUUGUACAGGAAGAAACACUGGUUCGUGAACCAGCUUGACGGUACUGUAAGAAUAAGGAUCGGCUAACUCCGUGCCAGCAGCCGCCGCUG
rnacentral:rRNA from 1 species